GUAAAAAGUAGAAUAAUAGAUUUGAAAUAUUUAUUAUAUAGAUUUAAAGAGAUAAUCAUGGAGUAUAAUAAUUAAAUUUAAUAAAUUUAAUAUAACUAUUAAUAGAAUUAGGUUACUAAUAAAUUAAUAACAAUUAAUUUUAAAACCUAAAGGUAAACCUUUAUAUUAAUAAUGUUAUUUUUUAUUAUAUUUAUAAUAAGAAUAAUUAUUAAUAAUAAUAAACUAAGUGAACUGAAACAUCUAAGUAACUUAAGGAUAAGAAAUCAACAGAGAUAUUAUGAGUAUUGGUGAGAGAAAAUAAUAAAGGUCUAAUAAGUAUUAUGUGAAAAAAAUGUAAGAAAAUAGGAUAACAAAUUCUAAGACUAAAUACUAUUAAUAAGUAUAGUAAGUACCGUAAGGGAAAGUAUGAAAAUGAUUAUUUUAUAAGCAAUCAUGAAUAUAUUAUAUUAUAUUAAUGAUGUACCUUUUGUAUAAUGGGUCAGCAAGUAAUUAAUAUUAGUAAAACAAUAAGUUAUAAAUAAAUAGAAUAAUAUAUAUAUAUAAAAAAAUAUAUUAAAAUAUUUAAUUAAUAUUAAUUGACCCGAAAGCAAACGAUCUAACUAUGAUAAGAUGGAUAAACGAUCGAACAGGUUGAUGUUGCAAUAUCAUCUGAUUAAUUGUGGUUAGUAGUGAAAGACAAAUCUGGUUUGCAGAUAGCUGGUUUUCUAUGAAAUAUAUGUAAGUAUAGCCUUUAUAAAUAAUAAUUAUUAUAUAAUAUUAUAUAAAUAUUAUAUAAAGAAUGGUACAGCAAUUAAUAUAUAUUAGGGAACUAUUAAAGUUUUAUUAAUAAUAUUAAAUCUCGAAAUAUUUAAUUAUAUAUAAUAAAGAGUCAGAUUAUGUGCGAUAAGGUAAAUAAUCUAAAGGGAAACAGCCCAGAUUAAGAUAUAAAGUUCCUAAUAAAUAAUAAGUGAAAUAAAUAUUAAAAUAUUAUAAUAUAAUCAGUUAAUGGGUUUGACAAUAACCAUUUUUUAAUGAACAUGUAACAAUGCACUGAUUUAUAAUAAAUAAAAAAAAUAAUAUUUAAAAUCAAAUAUAUAUAUAUUUGUUAAUAGAUAAUAUACGGAUCUUAAUAAUAAGAAUUAUUUAAUUCCUAAUAUGGAAUAUUAUAUUUUUAUAAUAAUAAUAAAAAUAUAAAUACUGAAUAUCUAAAUAUUAUUAUUACUUUUUUUUUAAUAAUAAUAAUAUGGUAAUAGAACAUUUAAUGAUAAUAUAUAUUAGUUAUUAAUUAAUAUAUGUAUUAAUUAAAUAGAGAAUGCUGACAUGAGUAACGAAAAAAAGGUAUAAACCUUUUCACCUAAAACAUAAGGUUUAACUAUAAAAGUACGGCCCCUAAUUAAAUUAUAUAAGAAUAUAAAUAUAUUUAAGAUGGGAUAAUCUAUAUUAAUAAAAAUUUAUCUUAAAAUAUAUAUAUUAUUAAUAAUUAUAUUAAUUAAUUAAUAAUAUAUAUAAUUAUAUUAUAUAUUAUAUUUUUAUAUAUAAUAUAUAUAAUAUAAACUAAUAAAGAUCAGGAAAUAAUUAAUGUAUACCGUAAUGUAGACCGACUCAGGUAUGUAAGUAGAGAAUAUGAAGGUGAAUUAGAUAAUUAAAGGGAAGGAACUCGGCAAAGAUAGCUCAUAAGUUAGUCAAUAAAGAGUAAUAAGAACAAAGUUGUACAACUGUUUACUAAAAACACCGCACUUUGCAGAAACGAUAAGUUUAAGUAUAAGGUGUGAACUCUGCUCCAUGCUUAAUAUAUAAAUAAAAUUAUUUAACGAUAAUUUAAUUAAAUUUAGGUAAAUAGCAGCCUUAUUAUGAGGGUUAUAAUGUAGCGAAAUUCCUUGGCCUAUAAUUGAGGUCCCGCAUGAAUGACGUAAUGAUACAACAACUGUCUCCCCUUUAAGCUAAGUGAAAUUGAAAUCGUAGUGAAGAUGCUAUGUACCUUCAGCAAGACGGAAAGACCCUAUGCAGCUUUACUGUAAUUAGAUAGAUCGAAUUAUUGUUUAUUAUAUUCAGCAUAUUAAGUAAUCCUAUUAUUAGGUAAUCGUUUAGAUAUUAAUGAGAUACUUAUUAUAAUAUAAUGAUAAUUCUAAUCUUAUAAAUAAUUAUUAUUAUUAUUAUUAUUAAUAAUAAUAAUAUGCUUUCAAGCAUAGUGAUAAAACAUAUUUAUAUGAUAAUCACUUUACUUAAUAGAUAUAAUUCUUAAGUAAUAUAUAAUAUAUAUUAUAUAUAUAUUAUAUAUAAUAUAAGAGACAAUCUCUAAUUGGUAGUUUUGAUGGGGCGUCAUUAUCAGCAAAAGUAUCUGAAUAAGUCCAUAAAUAAAUAUAUAAAAUUAUUGAAUAAAAAAAUAAUAUAUAUUAUAUAUAUUAAUUAUAAAUUGAAAUAUGUUUAUAUAAAUUUAUAUUUAUUGAAUAUAUUUUAGUAAUAGAUAAAAAUAUGUACAGUAAAAUUGUAAGGAAAACAAUAAUAACUUUCCCGGAACUUAAAUAAAAAUGGAAAGAAUUAAAUUAAUAUAAUGGUAUAACUGUGCGAUAAUUGUAACACAAACGAGUGAAACAAGUACGUAAGUAUGGCAUAAUGAACAAAUAACACUGAUUGUAAAGGUUAUUGAUAACGAAUAAAAGUUACGCUAGGGAUAACAGGGUAAUAUAGCGAAAGAGUAGAUAUUGUAAGCUAUGUUUGCCACCUCGAUGUCGACUCAACAUUUCCUCUUGGUUGUAAAAGCUAAGAAGGGUUUGACUGUUCGUCAAUUAAAAUGUUACGUGAGUUGGGUUAAAUACGAUGUGAAUCAGUAUGGUUCCUAUCUGCUGAAGGAAAUAUUAUCAAAUUAAAUCUCAUUAUUAGUACGCAAGGACCAUAAUGAAUCAACCCAUGGUGUAUCUAUUGAUAAUAAUAUAAUAUAUUUAAUAAAAAUAAUACUUUAUUAAUAUAUUAUCUAUAUUAGUUUAUAUUUUAAUUAUAUAUUAUCAUAGUAGAUAAGCUAAGUUGAUAAUAAAUAAAUAUUGAAUACAUAUUAAAUAUGAAGUUGUUUUAAUAAGAUAAUUAAUCUGAUAAUUUUAUACUAAAAUUAAUAAUUAUAGGUUUUAUAUAUUAUUUAUAAAUAUAAUAUAAUAAUUAUUAUUAUUAAUAAAAAAAAAUAUUAAUUAUAAUAUUAAUAAAAUACUAAUUUAUCAGUUAUCUAUAUAAUAUCUAAUCUAUUAUUCUAUAUACU
rnacentral:rRNA from 1 species